UAGGGAAUCUUCGGCAAUGGACGAAAGUCUGACCGAGCAACGCCGCGUGAGUGAAGAAGGUUUUCGGAUCGUAAAACUCUGUUGUUUGAGAAGAACAAGGACGUUAGUAACUGAACGUCCCCUGACGGUAUCUAACCAGAAAGCCACGGCUAACUACGUGCCAGCAGCCGCGGUAAUACGUAGGUGGCAAGCGUUGUCCGGAUUUAUUGGGCGUAAAGCGAGCGCAGGCGGUUUCUUAAGUCUGAUGUGAAAGCCCCCGGCUCAACCGGGGAGGGUCAUUGGAAACUGGGAGACUUGAGUGCAGAAGAGGAGAGUGGAAUUCCAUGUGUAGCGGUGAAAUGCGUAGAUAUAUGGAGGAACACAAGUGGCAAAGGCGGCUCUCUGGUCUGUAACUGACGCUGAGGCUCGAAAGCGUGGGGAGCAAACAGG
rnacentral:rRNA from 1 species